rnacentral:lncRNA from 1 species
CGCUCCAAAGAUGGCGGCAAGCCUUUUGUUCUCUUACCUGGGGUUCUUGGCUUCAUGGAUUCCAAGGAAUGGAACUUUGGGCCAUGCGGAGCUUGACAUAGGUGGUGCAUGAAGUGUCUCAAGAGGAAGCAGAGAAUAAGAUCUCAGUUACACAGUCUGGGCAAGAAUACAAGAAAAUCACCCAAAAAACUGCGACCAUCAGAGGAGCCUCCAUGUUAGAGUCUCUGGGCCUCUGUCUCUUCAGAAUCCACCCUGGAAACAGUGUGCAUCAAAACACUUUGGAGUUCUUAGAGGCACUUGGAAUUAUCUGCUGGCUUCCCACCUUUAAAGAGACUGGGCUAGUUAAAUAUCCCCCUCUGUUCAUUUUUUUAAAUUUGUGAGUUUAUUUUUUGAUUAUUACUCUAAUUGGGGGCUAACAUUAACAUUUACUGGGCAAGUGUCAGGGAGGUCAACAUUAUGCAUGUUUGAGAUAGUCCUUUGCCAUGAAGAAUUGUUCUGUGUCCCAUGUGACUUUUGUAUGUCCAACUGGGCAGUUGUGAAUUCAGAAAACCUCGUGUAUAAUUAUUCAAACUCAAAGCCUAACUCCAUUUUACAUGCAAACACAAUGUAUUUAUUACACAGUUUUAAUACACCCUAAAUUUUCUAGGAAUAAAACUUUGUACUUUGUUCAGAACUUUUCUUUUUUUAAAGUAAGUUGUUCAUUGUUUUGGAAAUUUGCAUAACUGUUAGACAAUUGUUCAAGGGCUUUAAUUGUCUAAACAGCACAUAAAUCUUGGUUUGUAUUUGUAGUUGCUGAAUUCAAAAGCAAUUUGUCAUCUACAGCCAGCUUUUGACUGCUUCAUUAUGUCUUCCAAUGUAGUUAUUUCUAAGCAUUUACAUAUUGAAAUACAUAUUAUUUUACUAAAAAUUAUUUUCUUUUUUUAACAUUUAUUUUAUGCUUAAAGCAUCAUUUUGGCUUAAAAAUUAAUAGGUGUCUAUAGGUUAUAUUGUCUGUGAAUUUCAUUUAAGAAUAAAUAAAUGGAGCUUAAUAAAAUAUUUGUUGUAAAAGGUGGCAUUUGGCCCCAUGAGGUUGAGAAAUACUGGAC